rnacentral:rRNA from 1 species
GACAGAGGGUGCAAACGUUGUUCGGAAUUACUGGGCGUAAAGCGCGCGUAGGCGGCUUUGUAAGUUAGAGGUGAAAGCCCGGAGCUUAACUCCGGAACUGCCUUUAAGACUGCAUCGCUAGAAUCGUGGAGAGGUGAGUGGAAUUCCGAGUGUAGAGGUGAAAUUCGUAGAUAUUCGGAGGAACACCAGUGGCGAAGGCGGCUCACUGGUCCAUUACUGACGCUGAGGUGCGAAAGCGUGGGGAGCAAACAGG